ACUAAGAGGAACUGGACACCAGGAGCCUCAUACCAGGACUGCCCAGCCGAGCCACUCGAUUCCUGACCCACAUGGCCCUUGAGAUGACAAGUGAUUGCUGCUUAAAGUCACUGAGUUCUGGAAUAAUUUACAUCAUGGCAAUAGGAGCAGUUCACCCAUCUCAGUUAAUCAAGCUCCGCGUCUUCUGCAGACUAAUCAAACCACUCAUGGAACCAAAGAAUGAGGAAAAGGCAGAUGGUAUCCCAGAAAGGUGUCUUCUCCAACAGCCAGAUACUUUUCAUCAGAACAGAGGCUGGUGUGCCGCUGGCUCUGGGCUCCUCCACACCCACAGGGCAGCACCACUGUCUCCAGUGCACACUGCACAGAAGCAGCUCUGGGUGCUUUGGUCAAUAACCCAUCUUCGUGGCUCGUGGAUAUUUCUUGUUAGUCUUAGGCUUCCAUCGUGACCUUUCUGAGUGCCCCUCAAUCUCAUUAACUCCCCUUUCAAGGCUCUGUCCCCAGAAAACAAGCUUCAGGUUGUGACCCUGUUUCCUCACAUUCAUUUCUGAUAC
rnacentral:lncRNA from 1 species